CUUCAAGAGAUAAGUAUUGAUUUUAUUUUUGAUUAAAAUAUGUGAUUAUGUAUUUUCUAUUUUACAUGCAAGCAGUCCUGCAUAUUCGCUUCCACUGCAUAUGUCUGUUUUCCAACACCGUAAACCCCAAAAUUCAUUGCAAAAUGAAGUGAUUAACCUGCAAAUAUGUUUAUCAAGAAAAAUGAAAGACAACACAGUAUAUCGAACGAUGAAAAAGAGAACGAUAGUUAUCAAACGAAGUUAUGAUAUAUAUUCAAAAAAAAAAAAAAAAGAAUUAGGAAGAAAAUUUCUUAGUGACCUUUAUUUCAUUUUCACCAGGGUCACAUGCUUCAGUUGUUAUUUAAUCUUCCGCAAGUCACGUUGCUCAUUUGGCAAUUUCAUUUCUACAACAGAGGAAAUCAAAUGUUAUUUUUUGUAUUUUACUCCAUUCUUUGAUGUCAACUGUGGAUUGUGCGGGGAGGCAACACAUCAUAUUUUUUUUUUCAAUAUAGAAUAAACUGAGCUUUCCAGAUAUUGAGCUAGAAGUGGGGGAAAAUGACUUUUUCACUUGAAUUCUGAAUAAGUUCUGAUUCAACCUGCUUUGAGAAUUUUGCAUACACAUCAAAUUGGCAUGUAGCAGUAUAUGUUUUUCCAAUUUAAUUUUUUUCUUAUAAGACGGCAAAAUGAGGCAAAAUUGAUAGACACUAUGUUUGAAUAUACCUACAAAAUCAUAGCAGAAAGUAUUUGGGAAUCAAUAAAUAUUUUGUUGAUUAUAAUUCAUGCAUUGAAAUUUUCUUCUCAUUAGACUCCUCACUUCUUGUCUGCUCUUUGAACACACUGAAAUAUAACAACUUUUAGUUUAUUCAGAAGUGAUAUUUUUGCCUCAAUGGAGAAGGAGCGCUCUAGUGUAAAAAAAGUGAGACUGAGCAUUAAAAGGAUAAAUAAUGGUACAAACUAUGAAUUAUGUGAAUAGAAGUUACAGUAACAUCCCAUUGUGAAUGAACAUUUGCAAUUGACACCAUUUCUUCUUUUACUGAAAUAGAGAUAGGAUGUCCAGAUUGAGAUGUGCUCCUCACAGUGAAAGAGUCUAGCAUUUCUCUGUUUUUUGCAACUUUGUGUGAGAAAGAGUUUAAAAAUAAUUAUAAUAGAAAGAAAUAAGCACAAUAUACAAAUGAGUAAUCUGAUAUUGCAAGUGCAGUUGUAUGCAUUAUAAAUAUUAUGGAUCAAUCUGUAUUAUUGUGUUGAAUUUUGUUGUCAUCGAUGUACUUACAUUAGGUAUAAUGAUUUUUACUUAAGUAGAAAUUUAUGUAAAUAAAUUAAUUAAAGUAACAUAAGAAAGUACAAAUUUAUGUUGCUGUUAUGUACAACACAGAGUAUUAUUUACUUUAGCUUACCGUUGUAUUUGGACAUCCCAAUACGCCUAACAAAGAUGGUUAGACGUUCUUAAAAUUGCCUAAGGAUAGUCUUAAAAACAUAAAACAUGACAGGUGUAAAGUUGAAAUUAAAGUAUUAAAAAAAAUAACAAAGCAUUUUUUUUUUUUAAAUGAACUAAAAGUGAAAGUAAGUCAUUGGAGGAAAUAACUUUUUCUUAUUUUGUCAUUUCCACAUUCGACCAACUCUUAUUUGUCGUGCAAUUUAAAAGUUGGGCAAUUGUCAUAAAUCCUAGUAGUUUAGCACCUAAUUAUAUACAAUUUCGACUGUUUUCAUAUUUACAUAAAAUCUCAAUUUUUCGUUCAUUAUCGUGAUACAUAGCGAAGACUCACGAUACAUUACCAUCCGAUACAUAAGUACUGAUACAUAACUUUUAUGUAUUAAUGUUAUAGAGAUACAUAAGUACCGAUACAUAACUUUUAUGUAUUAAUGUUAUAUAUCAGCAGCACAAAAAAAAUUAAUACAUGAUUUUUGUAGGUUUUCAACCAAACACAUCUUUCUUAUAUAUUUAUAACCUAAUAUUCAGUAAGAUACAUAACUUUUGUACAUUUGGUGGAGGAUCCGUGAUGUAUCUUCUUAUCCUUUUCUACCAAAUUCAUCAUCUUAUCUAUCUCCAGACUCUCUAACAGAUACAACAUCCUUAUGUAUUUUCAUUAACAUCAUCUUCAACCACCACUGACGAAUGUAUUUUCAUUAACAUCAUCUUCAACCACCAUUGACGAAUCUCCGAACUUCCUCCGCACUCCACCCCCAACUCUCUCUGUCGCUGUAUCAGGCUAUCUUCGCUAGUAAACCCUCUCCGGCAAGACACCAAAUAGAACCCAACUCAGUCUCUUACACCACAUUGUUAUACCCUCACCCGCUUUGCCCAGUGUUGCGCUUCUUAUGUAUCUCGCUUCGUGUAAAUCAAAUAGACCUUAAUUCUUAUCUAUCCCCCAUCAUCAUUUGAGCUAAAAUCAGGGAUAUUUGGGUACUCAUGAAAGUGACAAUGUUAAUGUUUCAGAUGGGUUGAUGAUUUAAUCAACAUCAGAGAAAACGAGUGAUUGGUGAAUAGGAGAAAUAAAAAGACAAAUAAAGAGGAGAUGAAGAUCGAGGAAUACUACAGAGAGAUGCGAUUGGGAUGUGAAGGGGAGAAGAUGAUAGGGUUUAAGUAAUUAUGCUAGAUGAUCCUUUUAUAGAAAAGAAAAAUUAGGGAUUCAUGUAAUUGGUUUAAAGGAUUGAAAUUUUAAGUAAUGGUGGUAACCUAAAGUAUGGGCUUGUGUACUUUUUCCUUGAAAGUUUGGCUAUUGAAAGUCACAUAAUGUUUUGAGAAAUUUGGGAUUUUUCUUUUAGUCAAACGAUAAAGCUUUUUCAUCAACCAAAUUAGACAUGCACACCAGCUAGGCAGGUGGGACUCUAGAUGUAGACCUCAAUACAAUACUAUCUAAUUUAGAAUGAAAGCUAACCUAGAUAGGGAAGAAAUUUAAUUGAUGUAGUAAGCUUUUGAUCAUGAUUUUUUUUUGAAAAAAAAUUAUUUAAAAUUUUUAAAGUUGAAGUUAUAUUUGGUCAUAGCAUUUGCAGUUAGCAUUUGUAAUUUAAAUAUAUUUUAAAAAAUAUAAAAUAUUACAUUUGAACAUGAAAUAUAAUUUAGAUGAGAUUAUUUUAUGAAAAUAAAAAAUUUAGAAUUUUAUUAAAAUAAAUAAAUAAGUGAAAACAACGUCUUGGUCGUUUUUGAAAUUCUAAAUAAAGCUUCAAAUUGUAUUUGAAAUUUUUAUAGCCAAACAGGCAAACAUUGUUUUUCAAAUAAAGUGAAAUAAUAUUUCGAGAAGAAGUUAAUACUCCUCCAUUUUAAAAAAAAUGAUCUACUUUUUUUUUAGUCCGUCUAAAAGAAUAUAACCUUUCCUUUUUAGCAAUACUUUAAUUUCAACUUUUAAUGUGGCAUAUUUAAGACUACAAGAUUAAAAGACAUUUUUAUACAUUUGACAUAACUUUAAUUUAUAAUCAUAAAAUUCAAAGGUCUUUUUGUUUUCUUAAAUUUUAUGUUAAGUCAAAACAUAUAGUAAUUCUUUUUGAAACUGAGGAAAUAAUGUCCAUGGCUAAACGCUCCCAUAGAAUGACAACGAGCCACCCUAGUAUAUCACCUCGUGUUCCUCGUUUGCGCGUAUUGUUUGAGACCCAAAUGGGAUGUUAGUAACAGUUGAAGUAAUUUGAUUCUACUGUUGCUAUAUCUUAAGAUGUUCCUAGUAAUGAUGGGUUUUAGCCUUAUAUAGUUCACACUAAUAGGCAGAAUUCAGUCAAGCCAACGACUUCAAAACGAAAAACACGUAUGAAGCAUCAAUUAUAUAUUAUUAAAAGAAAAUAGGAUUCGUAUUUAAAUAGAAAGUCUUUAUUACAUACUUAGGGAUAAAAAAAAUAAUCUUAAUAUCAUUGAACCAAUAAUAUAUUUUCUUUUUAAUUUAUGAUUAAACUAGUUUUUGCACGUACCUGCUUUCAAGGCUAUUCUUGUUGAUCACUCAUUCUGCACGCGGCUUAGGAGACAUCUGACCAUGAAAAUUUCACUUUUUUUUAAAGUUGAACUUUGAAAACACGUUAAGCCAUAAAAUUCUGAAAAAUUAUGUUCUCACUUUUUCCAAAAACAACAAAAUAUUUGUUCACUUUUUUCACUCAACACAAAAUAUUUGUUCACUUUUUUCACUCAACAUACUCACAAUUUUUUCCAAAAAAAAAUUAUUUCACGGCCAAACACAAAUUUCAAUUUGAAAAUACUAGUAUAAUUUUUCAAUUUAAAAUUCUAAUUUAAUUUUUUCUAUUUUUUUCACAAUGAACAUGAUCAAAGGCCUACCUAAAAGCCCCAAACCACACGGGCCAGAAUUUACAAAAGCCCAAGCCCAAAUCAAAAAGCCUCUAGGCCCAAAGUUUGCACUAUAAAAGGCAAAGACACCUUCUUCUGGAGGGAAAAAUUCAAAAUUUGAAUUUGAAAUCACAGAGGGGGAGAGACAGAGAGACAACAAUGGCAUCAAACUCAGAUAUGAAGAAUUUUUAUAAGCAAACGAAGAAGAACGGUGGAAUUGCAAAGCUGUCACAUUCAAAAUCACCAUAUGCUGCUACUACUACGAAGAAAUCAGAAAUUCCAAAGCUCGCUACUGCUGACGGCUCUCCAGCUCUCUUUUCCAAUGGAUCUCCCAAUUUGCAAGCUGGUUAGCGUUUUCCCUAAUUUUAUACGUUCAUACCUUAUGGAGCAUUUGUUACUCUUUCCAUUCCUUUUUACUUGUCAUAUUUUGUUUCUCAAGAGUCAAAUUGCAUGAACUUUGAUCAAUACUUUAAGAUGUGCUUUUUAACUUAUAGUAUUUUUCGUAUAGCUUUUGGACAUUUAGCUCUGAAAAUUAGUCAAAUUGACUUUUGUUAAGCGAAAUGUGACAAGUAAAAAAGAAAAGGGAGGGAGGAGGGGGGGAUUUUAUUGUAAUUUUGCAUAUAUGUUUAUGCUUUGCAUCAGAAGUACUAGAUUCAAUGAACUCGGCUGCUAUCAGUCACUGUCAUUUCGCACAGAGGAAUCCACAGAAAAUAGAUUUCUGGAUUAGUUUUUCAGUGUUUGGUUGACUAAAGUAAGUUAUAGGAGUAUAUGAUAUUCAGACAAUACAAGCUCUAAGAUAGAUUAUUAGGAUGAGGAUAGUUUCUCGGGAAAAAAAUGUUAAUCUAUGCUGCAAAAUGAAUACAGUCUUCGAACCUCAUAUCCUGUGGAUCUCUCAAUUUGCAAGCUGAAAUGCAUUUUCCAUAAGGUUAUGGGUUCAUUCGUAGUUUUUGUUACAAUUUUAGUUAGUGUAGUAUUUGUUACAAUUUUAGUUAGUGUAGUUUUGCACAUAUAUUUAUGCUCUCGUAAAAGUACUAGGUUCAGAUGAACGAUGCUGCUAUGUUGACUCUGCCACAGUCAUUUAAUACAUAGGAAUCCACGGGAAAUAAUUCUGUGGAUUAGUUUUUCAGUAUUUGGUUGGGUGUAAAGUAAGUUAUAUAUGAUAUUCAUAUAAUACAAAUUAAAAGAUUUUGAGUAUGAGGAUAGUUUUUCUGAAAAAAAAAGUAUAUUGUGUUGCAUAUUCAAUACCGUAUACUUUUUGGCCUCAAUGUUUAUUUCCCUCUUUGUUCAUGAUCAGAUUGGAAGACCUGAAAUGUGAUGAGUUUGGUCUAUACAUGAUAAAUAUAUUUUUUCAAGAGUCGUUUUGGGUUGAAAUGCCAACAACAACAACAACAACAACAUACCCAGUAUAUUCCCACCAAGUGGGGUCUGGGGAGGGUAAGUGUAUGCAGUCCAUACCACUACCUCAGAUGUGAGAUAGAGAGGCUGUUUCCGAUAGACCCCCGGUUGGGUUGAAAUGCCAAAUUUAGGAUUUGUUAUUCCAUUAUUGAUGGCAUUUGAAAUGAUACAGUAGAGUACUAGUUACAGGAUUGCAUGAAACAAAUCAUAGUACCUUUUAGUUGGUUUUCUAAUUAAGUGAUUGAAUUUGUGAUUCAUACAUUACUCGUUAGAGUACUGCUUAUGUCUUCAUAGAUGUUAUGUUUUUGCUUUCCUUGAUCCCGAGGGUCUACCGGAAACAGCCUCUCUACCUGUCAAGGUAGGGGUAAGGUGUGCGUACACUCUACUCUCCCAAGAUCCCACUUGUGGGGCUGUACUACAUUUGUUGUUGUUGUAUGUUACUUGUUAGAGUGUAGUUUUGUUCACAAUGAAGAAUGACUAACUUUUUUUUGUUAGAACCUGUCGUAGAAGCUCGAUAUUGAUCGAGACUUUGGGUGAGAAAACUGAUGUUGUGCAAAAGGAAAAUAUCUGUGUAUUGAGCUGACUACUUAGUAGGUACUUUGUACAGAUAGUACAAUCUAACCGACUAACUACUUUCAGGUACAAACUAACCUAUACGGAACAUUUCGCCUCUAAGUAUAUGCAAACUUACCCCUCUAACUACUAUAUACUUCAACACUAUUUAUCAUUUAGAUUUUAGAGCUAGCUAGUCAUGAUAUGCUGUCCAUACUCUACAUAUGGUGCAAAUUUUUAAAUGAGCCAUUGUUGCUUUCAAGAGAAAGUUGUACUAUAUUUUCUUCUGGUAGCUUUCAAAGGUUGCAUUAGUUCAUGAACGAUUCAGAGUGUCCUCCAUUUGUGGGGGUAGAUGGUGGGGUGGGGAUGGUUAGAGACUGGCUAAUCAGAAGCUUGAAAGUUCACUACCCCGUGGACACACUUCAUGUGUAUAUGUUUGUUAUUUCCACAAUAUAUUCGAGUAUGCAGAAUCUGUAUAUUGCAACAACAACUUCAACUCGAGUUCAAGUAUGAACAAGAACACAAUGAAGUAUCAAAUACCCUCAACACAAGAUCAAAAUGACCUUUCCAAGAGGUAUAUUUAUUUUUUCAGAAAAUAAAGAUGAAACAGAAAUGAUUAAGGCCAAGUCGUCCGAAUUCACGUAUUUUCCUUAAGGAAUAAUUCCCCUCACUGUACCCGACGUUAUGAAAUCUUCCUCCCAGAAUAAAAUGGCCUUCAAUUCGACUAUAGAGGUACCUCAAAUAGGCGGAUUCUUCGAACACACUCACGGUUUGAAUGAUCACACUUAGAGUAUUUUUAAGACAAGAAGAAUGUUUUGUAAUCUGAAAAUUUCUGUAUUUUCUAUCUCUUAACCUGUGGAUGAAAACCAAGUUAUUUAUAGCCAAGAGAUGCCUCUUCUGAAAAGAGACAAAGGUUCAUCUAAAAGGUGUUACCUUUUCUGAAAAUUCAUGUCCAUUCGGCCAAACAGCGUGACUGUUCCUGAACAGGCAUGUCAUUUCGUGAAUAAGUGUGUUCACGUAAAUAGUGGUACUGUUCACGCAAAACAGUGCCACUGUUUACACAAAAUAGUGCAACUGUUCACGUAACAGUGCGCUACUGUUCACGUAAAACAUUACUGUUACUGCAUGCAAAAAUUGUUAAAUGGAGGAUUACUGUUCAGAAAUUCGGAUCUCAAAUAAAUUUUGUCCAAAAAGAUAGAUCUCAUCAAUCGAUCAUUUGCCAAAUCCAAAUCCGAAGGCGAGCGAGCGACGGCGGCAGCGCAAGACAUCAUCUAUUUCUUGCCUCACUUGCCAUGUGGAGUACGUGUUUCUCAUUAUAAACACUCUCAAGUUCUCUUCUUCCAUCAAUGUGGGAGAAAGAGUAAACUUACCAAAAUUGAGUACACUUUCCAAUUUGGUGUUAACUCAAUUUUUUUUUCUCUUCCACUUGAUUUCUCCAUUUUUCAUUCAACACACUUUCAUUACUAUGAACCCAACAAUGUUUACCUGGGCGUGUUUAGUUUUGUAUUUGCUCAAACUAUAAUAAAUAGAAUUACUCUCAAUGUGCUAAUUAGGAUGUAUUUCAGUAAACAGAAAUCAAAUCAAUAUAGGAUGCUUUCAUUUAAUUCCAGAACAUAUAACAUGAUCAAUUCCUAAACUGUAUCAAUUAAACAAUAAUCUGCAUACAUAUAUAGUUACCUUAUUUCCUUGGAAAUGAAAAUUAGUAACAUAUGUUCAUAUUAUUUUUGAACAAUAUUAUAUGAUGCAUUCUGAAAUUAAAAAACAGAAGACACAUUAUAUGAUGCAUUCUUUGAUAUUUCUCGAUAUAGUGGACUCAGGGAUAAGUAAUCAGACCAUACCUUUUGCUAUCAGAUGCAUGCUGUGCAGGAUGACGGAUAAUACUUUCUCAUCCUGCUAAAUCCUAUCAAUAAAUGAUAGUAUGCACAUUUUUGUGAAGAUGAUGUUUUCCUCAUUCCUGAACUAUCGUCUCUCUUGUUGCGUGCUUAAUUUUGUUUUACUUUUUGUCAUUGUGGCCUUGCCAAUGCUACUACUGGAAUAAUGAAUUGUUGCACACUCUGUGUAUGCAUAUUUGAUUGAUUAAUGGUAUAAAUGAGUUUCAAAAAAGGCUACGGAAAUUGGCUUUACAACGAGUUGUCUAUAUGGAAUGACAGAUAGACAAACUUGCUGCUAUUCAAAUAGAAAAACAUAAAUGCUAAAUGCGAUCACCAACAUAGCAGGAACAAAGUUUUGGAUAGCCACGUAAAAAGUCUACUAUUCUAGAUUAUACUGUUGAAUUAUCACUAAAGUGCAAUCUCCCUUGGAAAUUUGUUAGAUCAGUAUUGUGAUUGAAGGUCUUCUUUCAUGGUGUAACAAGGAGAAUGUAGCUUGAGAUUUUCUUUGUGUCACUGUUCCUAUUCAUAUCUACAAGCAGAGCCACAUAAAAAGUCUACUACUCUAGAUUAUACUGUUGAAUUAUCACUAAAGUGCUAUCUCCCUCGGAAAUUUUUUUUGAUCAGUAUUGUGAUUGAAGGUCUUCUUUGUAUGGUGUUACAAGGAGAAUGUAGCUUGAGAUUUUCUUUGUGUCACUCUUCCUAUUCAUAUCUACGAGCAGAGCCAUGUAAAAGGUCUACUAUUCUUGAUUAUACUGUUGAAUUAUCACUAAACCCUCAGAAUUUUUUUUGAUCCGUAUUGUGAUUGAAGGUCUUCUUUGUAUGGUGUUACAAGGAGAAUGUAGUUUGAGAUUUUCUUUGUGUCGCUGUUCCUAUUCAUAUUUACGAGCAGAGUCACGUAAAAAGUCUACUAUUCUAGAUUAUACUGUUGAAUUAUCACUAAAGUGCAAGCUCCCUCAAAAAUUUUUUUGAUUAGUAUUGUGAUUGAAGGUCUUCUUUGUAUGGUGUUACAAGGAGAGUGUAGCUUGAGAUUUUCUUUGUGUCGCUCUUCCUAUUCAUAUCUACGAGCAGAGAAAAUAAGGUAACAUUCACUAUCACUCACAAUUUUUGGAACUGCCUUUUGGAUAAUAGCGACCUUAUGUUUUAUUUUUGUAUCUGCUACGAUCUAUUCAUCGAUCAGUUUUCUUCUUGUAAAACUUUUUCUCAUAUCAAGUGUUUGCAUUUGUACUUAACAAUCACAAUUACUGAAAUUUUCAGAUGAUUAUGAUGGGAAAGAGGAGUUACUAAGGCAAUUUGACACAAAUAAGGCUUAUGGACCCUGUCUUGGAUUGAGCAGACUUGACAGAUGGGAGCGUGCUAAGAAUCUUGGUUUAAACCCUCCUAGAGAUGUUGAGCCGAUAUUGAGAUCUAGCAAGGUUCGCAACGAAUGCCUGUGGGAUGGAAGGGUUUAAACUUUGUUUAUGUUAUCAUCAGGGUAGCUCAUAGUACUUCGUUUUCCUGUUCUGCUUGUUCCGGGGGAAAAAUUACAGCAUCUAGCUGUAUGGUAGAUUUCGAGUUCACCUUAUUCCUGAUCUAAGGUUCUUUGAAGUUAGUAUUGUCUUUCAUUUGAUGAAUUUGCCGCUGAAAAAAUGCAGUGUCCGAAGGUCCGGUUAACACAAUUACUUGUUUUUGUCACUCCAUAUGUUCCCAUUUGCUAUAUAUUAACAUACCCACCUGUUUUUCUCACUCAUUAUGAUAUGGUUUGAGUUGAGGGUUUUUCAAAUACAGCCUCUCAAGGUAGGAGCAAAUUCUGCACACUUUACCCUCCCCUAAACCCACUUGUGGGAUUACUUAUGUUGUGUAUUAUGAUCUUAUGUUCUGUUAUAUUUUUCUUGCUAAGAAGUUUUCUUUGAAUAUGUUCUUUUAUCAGUCUAGAUGUGCUUUUACCCUUUGAAUUGCAUUGUUUCUAAUUUGGUUUCUCGGAUUUGUGACUGAUGUCUCUAUUCACGUUUACUUAUUCAUAAUGUACGCUCUUAAAAAAUAAAUAAAUAAAAUGUAUAUUUUAUUAUAAUACUAGAUGUCGAAGCACAGACUCCAUAUAUGUUAUUUUUUUGUUUCAAUUUAUGUGCGACAAAUAGAAUUUAGACAAUUAUAUUUUAAACAUAUUUUAGAUAUUUUAACUUGUUAAUUAUCGUAAUUUAUAAUAUUUUUAUGUAAUUUUCAAAUAAUACAUGCUACUCUCCUUGUUCAAACUUUUGUGACAUUGUUAGUCAAUUAUAUUUUUAAAAUAAUUUAAUUUUUUAUUGAGAUUUAUAAUACCUCUUAUCUAUCUCAAUUUAAAUGACAUUGAUAUAAUUUUGAGCGUUAACUAAAUAUUUUAUGUAUUUAAAUUUUUUAAAUCGUUAAUUAUUUUGAUUUAUAAUAUUUUUUUUUAGAAAUAUAUAACAAAUUAAUUUUCUUAAAGAUAUUUUAAGUUGUUAACUAUAUUGUAAUUAUAAUACUUUUUAUGUAAUUUUCAUAUAAUACAUGAGAAACUCCCCUUGUUCGAACUUUUGUGGCACUGAUAGUCAAUUAUAUUUUUAUUAUUCAAAUUUAAGUGACAUUGAUAUAAUUUCAAAAGUCAACUAAACAUGUAUAUCUUUUAAAAUUUUUAAGUUGUUAGUUAUUGUAAUAUAGAUAUUUUUUUUUACGUAUUUCUUUCAAUAUAUAGCAAAUUAUUUCUUUUUAGAUAUUCUAAGAUAUUAAAUAUUAUAACUUAAAAUAUUUUUUUUGUAAUUUUCAAAUAAUGUAUGUUACUUUAGAUAUUUUAAGCUGUUAGCUAUUGUAAUUUAUAAUACUUUUUUAUGUAAUUUUCAAAUAAUAUAUGUUACUCUGCUUGUCCAAAAUUUUGGGGCACUGAUAGUCAAUUAUAUAUUUUUAAAUAAUUUAAUAUUUUGAUUUAUAAUAUUUUUUUCUGUUCCAAUUUAAAUGACACAACGUUUAGAUGGUCAUAAUAAUUAAUUAAGGGUGAUAUAGUAAAAUUAUGAUUAAAGCAGCGAAAUAGAUAUGUCUUAAAUGACUUAUAAUAACUAAUUAGAAAUGAUAUAAAAAAAAAUACUACACAAAUUGCUUUUGGGAAAAAAAUUUAAGGUCUCAUCUAAGACAUCAAGUUACUUUAAUAUUAAAUAUUAUUAAUUUUUUAAUACUCAAAUGACUUUAUAAUAAUAGAAAUGUUUCUCUUAAACUAUGGGAAUUACUCAUGUCCUUGCCUCAAUUAAGAACCUACUGUUGAAGUGGUGGAAAACUAGAGCAUCCAAUAGAGCCCAUAAACUGAUGUUUCAGGCUCUUCCAAUCAUCAUAUGCUGGAACUUGUGGAAGAACAGGUGUUCUGUUAAAUAUGGUGACAAACAACCCCAAUUAGCCAGAGUUAUAUAUGUCCCUUCUACUGUACAAUGCAUUUCCUUACAUCCCCUGGCCUUCUGGUUGGUCCAACCUGGCAACUUAUGUGGAGAAAUUUAGCCAAGAGACAAAAGUCACAACUGUAUAUUGGACUAAACCACUAGCUCAAAUGGUCAAGUUGAAUUCUGAUGCCAGUGCAUUCACUAAUGCUGGAAGGAUUGGUGUAGGGGAAGUUAUUAGAGAUCAUAAUGGUGAUGUCAUUUAUGCUUAUGCUGCUCCCUUGGGACAGGGGACUAAUAACCAGGUAGAGGUGGAGGCUGCUAUAUGGGGCCUAUCUUGGUGUCUGAGCAAUGGUAUACAACAGGUUGUGAUGGAGGUGAACUCUGAGCUCUUGGUCAGAUGGAUAAGGAAACAAAUACCAAUAUUAUGGCACCUGCAACCCCUUGUGGAAUCCUUAAUGAAGCUCAUUUCACAGCUUCAUCUCUGUAUUUGUAGACAUGUUUACAAAGAAGCUAACUUUGUAGCAGAUGUCCUGUCAAAAGUUACCCACCAAUCCGACCAUCCACAACAUUAUUUCCACAGUUGUCAGCUCCCAUCUUCACCAACAGGUUACUUUCAACUAGAUAAACUGGGCAUGCCAAGCUUCAAGAGAAGGAAGGUGAACAAGUUACAGAAACCACCUUAGUGCAUGGUAAGAACUGGAAAGAAGGCAUAAGCAUGUCAUAUUAGUUUUAGCAUAGUUGUAUAUUGUAACCCCUGUUUAGUUUCAUUCUUCCAUAUGUUGUUGCACCAAUUGAGGUCAGGUUUAUGCCCCCUCUAUGUACAUUUUCUCUUGUGGUUAAAUGAUAAAGCCUGGGGGUGCUGCUCAGCCCCCAAAAUUUCUAAAAAAAAAAGAAAUAAUAAUAUUUUUUUAAUUCUUAGAUGACUUAUAAUAAUUAUUAGGGGCAAUAUAGUAAAAUUACAGCUGAAGCAAUUGAAGCAGACAUGUCAUAAAUGUCUAUACUAUUUUUUAAUUAAAUAUUGUAUUAAUGUUUUAAUACAUAAAUGACGUAUAAUAAUUAAUUAGGAAUAAUAUAAUAAAAUCAUGGAGCAAGCAGCUUAAUCGUCGGCAAGCAGGACGACAGGAAGUUGCUAAAACUCCCUCUUAUAUUAUAAUAUGUCAUGAUUAUUAGCAUUUCAUAAAGACUUAAAAAAUGAACAAAUAGUAUAAUAGACAAGUAAAAAUGAACGGAGUAAGUGGAUUCUAAUUGCCAGACUUAAAAAAAGAAUAAAUAGUAUAAUAAAUAAGUAAAAAUGAACGGAGUAAGUGAAUUCUAAUUGCCAGUGAAAGGAAGCUAGUAGUAGUGUAUUUUUCUCGUAUUUGGUUGGCUUAAAAGUUUUGGAAAACGUUUUUCAAAUCAACUUAUUUUCCUCAAAUCUAAGGAAAAUGACUUCCCUUCAAAAAGUAAGGAAAACAUUUAUCAAAAUUCUCUUUCAACCUCACUUUUAAGUUGAGAUAUUCAUACUACUCUCAAAAUCAUCCGUCCCUACUUCGACCCUCAAUCCCCCACCCUCACCCCACCUCACCCCCUACCACCCCCAUCUAAAAAAAGUAUUUAAAAAAUUUUUCUUCCCUCAUCCCCCUACCCCCUCUCCCUAAAAAAAAUUUAUUUAAUUUUUUAAAAAAUAAUUCAAACUUUUUUCUUACCUCGCUCACUCGACCCCCACCCUUACCAACUCCUCCUCCUCCCUCUUUAAAAAAAAUCAAACUUUUUAAAUUUAAUUUUUGAAAAUUUUCAUUUUUUUUACACUUUCCUCACUCCCCUACCACGACCCCCACCCCCUAUCACCCUCCAUUCAAAAAAAAAAAUUUUAAUUUUUUUUCUUACCCACCCUUACUCCUUUACCUCCCCCCCUCCCUCCUUAAAAAAAAGUUAAUUUAUUUUUUUAAAAAAAUUAACUUUAUUUUGUUAUCCCACCUUUACUAUCUAUUUUGACAAUCCCAACCCCCACCUACCUCCCUCCUCUAAAAAAAAAACAAUUUUUUUAAUUUGUUUUUUUAAAAAAAAAAAUUCAAAACUUUUUUUCUUAUCCAUUCUUCUUAUCCUAUUCGUUUUCAUUGUUUUUGUUAAAUAUAUACAUUUACUUUUAGAAAACUUAUACUUACCCAAUUUGCAUAACGAAUACAAGAAUAUAAGUAAGAAACAACUUAUUUUUCUAAAAAACAUUUUCCUCCUUUAUAUCGAACACACCCCAAAAAAGUAUUUUUUAGGGUCAAAAAUUAUUUUUCUAAAAUGUAUUUUUACGCUUUAGCUAAACACUAAAAUGUAUAUUUUGAUAAAUAUUUUUUCAUUCACCAACCAAACACUAGAAAAUAUUUUUCGGAUAAUAUUUUCAAUCCACCAACCAACCAUAAGAAAACAAGUAAGAAAUCAACUUGUUUUUCAGGAAAACAUUUUCUAGAAAAAUAUUUUUCAUGGAAAAUAUUUUCCUUCUUUUUAAAAUAGUAGAUUGUAAUGUCAAAAGAAAGCGAGAGUAAAUUUCUAUAUUAUAGAAGAGAAGGUUUGAAUGCUUGCUUCACCUUCUUUAAACCAUUCCUAAUUAAUUAUUAUAAAUUAUUUAUAUAUUAAAAAAAUAAUAAUAUUUAAUAAAAACAUUAAAACAAAUAUGUAUGACAUGUUUGCUUUAGCUGGUUCAAGUUAUUUUACUAAAUAUCACCCCUAAUUAAUUAUUAUAAGUCAUAUAUGCAUUAAAAAUUAAUAAUAUUUAAUAAAAAAGUAGAAAUAGAUAUAAUUUGAUAAAUUAACUCUUAAUGUUUUAAAUUAACUUGACGUCUUAUAUAAGACCUACUUAAAUUUUUUUCACAAUUAUUUUUUAUAUAAUUAUGCUAUAUCACUUCUAAUUAGUUGUUGUAAGUCAUUUAAGGCAUGUCCGCUUCACUGCUUCAAUUGCGAUUUUACUAUAUUAUUCCUAAUUAAUUAUUAUGGCCAUCUAAGCAUCGCGCUGCUUAAAUUAGAAUAGAAGAAAAAGUAUUAUAAAUCACAAUAAUUUAGAACUUAAAUUAUUUAAAAAAUAUAAUUAACUAUCACUGCAACUAGGGAUGGGCGUUCGGCCAGUUCGGUCUAAUUGUUUAAUAUCGAUUCGAUUUAUCGAUUUUUGGAUUGACAAAAAUGAUAUCUAUAACCAAACCGAAAUAAAUUCUAUUUGUUUCAAUUUUUACAAAUUCGGUUCGGUUAUUUUGGAUUUUUAUUUCGGUUUGAAAUAUUAAAGUAGUUAGCCUCUCUUUUUCAUAACUGAGCAUUUAAAAUUGAUGGAUUUUUUUAGAAAAAUUAUUUUUUUCAAAUCUGUUUUUCAUUCUCAAAUAUAAAUAAUUAUAAAUAACUCAACAUGGAUGAAACGAAAUGAAAUAAUCAUAAGUUUAACAUAAUACAUAACGUCAUUAAUCAUUACAUAUAAUAUAACCUUGCAUAAAUAGUCUACAAAACAACACAAAACUCAUAAAAGUAGUCCAUGAAACAACAUACUUUCUGCAUAAAUAAUCCAUAGAACAGUCCAAAGUCACCAAAAUAGUCUAUAAAAUAUUUGAGUCGCUAAAACAAUUCAUAAACAGCCUGCGGCGUAUGCGAAUUUGCUAUUAAAUGUUAAUUAUGAAUGUGAAUUACUAAAUAUUUUAUAAUAUAAUAUAAUAUUAUAUAUAUAUAACAUAAUAUUAUAUAUAUUAUAUAAAUAAUAAAAUAUAUAUAUUAUUUAUUUAUUUAUAAAAUUUUGAUUUUUUGGUUUAAACCGAAUUUUUUUUAAAGACAAAAACCAAACCGAAAAAACGAAAUUCUAAAAUUACAAACCGAAUCCGAUCCAAAAAACUGAAACCAAAAUUAAGUUUUGGUUUGGUUUUUCGGUUUUUUUGAUUUAAACUAAAAUAUGCCCACCCCUAACUGCAAUAAAAGUUUGGACAAGGAGAGUAACAUAUAUUAUUUGAAAAUUAUAUAAAAAGUACUAUAAAUUACAAUAGUUAACAACUUAAAAUAUAAAAAAAACUAAUCUGUUAUAUAUUUCAAACAAAUACGUAAAAAUACUAUGAAUCACAAUAAUUAAUAACUUAAAAAAUUUAAAAGAUAUACAAUAUUUUAUUUACUCUCGAAAUUAUAUCAGUGCCAUUUAAAUUGAAAUAGAAGAAGAGUAUUAUAAAUCACAAUGAUUAAAAAUUUAAAUUAUUUUUAAAAUAUAAUUGACUAUCAAUGCCACAAAAGUUUGAACAAGAAAAGUAACGUACAUUAUACAUAAAUUUUUUUUUUUAUAAAUUACAAUAGUUAACAACUUAAAAUAUCUAAAAUAUAAUAAAAAUAUUAUUAAUUAUCUAAAUUCUAUUUGUGCCACAUUAAUUGAGAUAAAAAUAACAUGGAUCCGUGCUAACGCGGACCCCUCAUAUCUAAUAUAGCUUAUAGAAAAGAGAUUAUGUUGCAACCAGAGACAAAAUGUGUGGAAAACAAGAUGAGCCACAUUAAUGAGUAUAUAUUGGAGAAUAAACAACUACACCAGUACAACUUACAAGAUGAAAGGACGAGCUUCCAAGAGACCUGGUCCUAGAAAGUGU
rnacentral:lncRNA from 1 species